CCUACGGGAGGCAGCAGUGAGGAAUAUUGGUCAAUGGACGAGAGUCUGAACCAGCCAAGUAGCGUGAAGGCUGACUGCCCUAUGGGUUGUAAACUUCUUUUAUAUGGGAAUAAAAUGUUCCACGUGUGGGAUUUUGUAUGUCCCAUAUGAAUAAGGCUCGGCUAACUCCGUGCCAGCAGCCGCGGUAAUACGGAGGAUCCGGGAGUUAUCCGGAUUUAUUGGGUUUAAAGGGAGCGUAGGUGGAUUGUUAAGUCAGUUGUGAAAGUUUGCGGCUCAACCGUAAAAUUGCAUUUGAAACUGGCAGUCUGGAGUACAGUAGAGGUGGGCGGAAUUCGUGGUGUAGCGGUGAAAUGCUUAGAUAUCACGAAGAACGCCGAUUGCGAAGGCAGCUCACUGGACUGCAACUGACACUGAGGCUCGAAAGUGUGGGUAUCAAACAGGAUUAGAUACCCCUGUAGUC
rnacentral:rRNA from 1 species